rnacentral:rRNA from 1 species
GAUGAACGCUGGCGGCGUGCUUAAUACAUGCAAGUCGAGCGAACGGACGAGAAGCUUGCUUCUCUGAUGUUAGCGGCGGAAGGGUGAGUAAAACGUGGGUAACCCCCCUAUCAGACUGGGAUAACUUCGGGAAACCGGAGGUCAAACAGGGUGAUUUCUGGAACCGUAUGGUUCAAGAGUGAGAGACGGUCUUGCUGUCACUUAUAGUUGGAUCCGCGCUGCAUUAGCUAGUUGGUAAGGUGACGGCUUACCAAGGCAACGAUGCGUAGCCGAGCUGAGAGGGUGGUCGGGCACACUAGAACGGAGACACGGUCCAGACUCGUACGGGAGGCAGCAGUAGGGUAUCUUCCGCAAUGCGCGGAAGGCUGGCGGGGCAACGCCGCGUCGGGGAUGAAGGUCUGCGGAUCGGAAAGCUCUCUUAUUAGGGAAGAACAUAUGGGUAGGUACUUGUGCGCAGCUUGACGGUACCUAAUCAGAAAGCCACGGCUAACUACGUG